UACGUAGGGUGCAAGCGUUAAUCGGAAUACUGGGCGUAAAGCGUGCGCAGGCGGUUAUGCAAGACAGAGGUGAAAAUCCCCGGGCUCAACCUGGGAACUGCCUUUGUGACUGCAUGACUAGAGUACGGUAGAGGGGGAUGGAAUUCCGCGUGUAGCAGUGAAAUGCGUAGAUAUGCGGAGGAACACCGAUGGCGAAGGCAAUCCCCCUGGACCUGUACUGACGCUCAUGCACGAAAGCGUGGGGAGCAAACAGG
rnacentral:rRNA from 1 species